rnacentral:rRNA from 1 species
UACGAAGGGGGCGAGCGUUGUUCGGAGUUACUGGGCGUAAAGGGCGCGUAGGCGGCGCUCCAAGUUAGGCGUGAAAGCCCCGGGCUCAACCUGGGAAUAGCGCUUAAGACUGGAGUGCUUGAGUGCGGGAGAGGUGAGUGGAAUUCCCAGUGUAGAGGUGAAAUUCGUAGAUAUUGGGAAGAACACCUGAGGCGAAGGCGGGUUGCUGGGCCGACACUGACGCUGAGGCGCGAAAGCCAGGGGAGCGAACGGG